CUGUUGCUUUAUCAAGUUACUAGAGAAUGUAAUUGACGGCCCCGCUUCUGUAAUAAGCAUUGGUCUGUAAACCCAGGAAAAGGAAGGAAAGUUCAAAUAAGAGACAUUUCUCUACAAGAACCUCUAUUUAGGAAAGCAAUCUGCCCCAACAUCCCAAUACUAAACUCCUUUAUCUUCAUGCUACUGUAUUAUAUUGGUAAUUAUAUUGGUAAAUUGUAUUGUAAAACAAGGAUCAAAAAAGGUGUAGGUUGUAAUGGUGCUUCAAAACUUGUUUGAGAUGGUCAGUCCCUUGAUUAUGGUUAUCCUAUCAUGUCAAAUC
rnacentral:lncRNA from 1 species